rnacentral:snoRNA from 1 species
AUGGCAUCUUCGAAGAUUUGACGAUCCUUAUUCUCUAUGAUAGUUAAAUUCAAAGCGAUGCCUAGAAAAAAAUACACCCAUAUGCUAAAAAUAUUGUGCAUUGGAUCUAAUUCUGUUCAGAACCAAAAGCUCCAAGGUCUUUCGGUUCUCUGCGGUGCUAGAUGA